rnacentral:rRNA from 1 species
ACAGUGCUCCUACGGAAGGCAGCAGUGGGGAAUAUUGCACAAUGGGGGAAAUCCUGAUGCAGCGACGCCGCGUGAAGGAAGAAGUAUCUCGGUAUGUAAACUUCUAUCAGCAGGGAAGAUAGUGACGGUACCUGACUAAGAAUCCCCGGCUAACUACGUGCC